rnacentral:rRNA from 1 species
CCUACGGGAGACAGCAGUGGGGGAUAUUGCACAAUGGGGGAAACCCUGAUGCAGCGACGCCGCGUGAGUGAAGAAGUAUUUCGGUAUGUAAAGCUCUAUCAGCAGGGAAGAAAAUGACGGUACCUGACCAAGAAGCCCCGGCUAACUACGUGCCAGCAGCCGCGGUAAUACGUAGGGGGCAAGCGUUAUCCGGAUUUACUGGGUGUAAAGGGAGCGUAGACGGUUAUGUAAGUCUGGAGUGAAAGCCGGGGGCUCAACCCCGGGACUGCUUUGGAAACUGUGCGGCUGGAGUACAGGAGGGGUAGGCGGAAGUCCUGGUGUAGCGGUGAAAUGCGUAGAUAUCAGGAGGAACACCAGCGGCGAAGGCGGCUUACUGGACUGUAACUGACGUUGAGGCUCGAAAGCGUGGGGAGCAAACAGGAUUAGAUACCCGAGUAGUC